AAAGGAAUAGACGGGGACCCGCACAAGCGGUGGAUUAUGUGGAUUAAUUCGAUGCAACGCGAAAAACCUUACCUACCCUUGACAUGCUUGAAAUUCUGCAGAGAUGCAGAAGUGCCCGAAAGGGAAUUAAGACACAGGUGCUGCAUGGCUGUCGUCAGCUCGUGUCGUGAGAUGUUGGGUUAAGUCCCGCAACGAGCGCAACCCUUGUCACUAAUUGCCAUCAUUAAGUUGGGCACUUUAGUGAUACUGCCGGUGACAAACCGGAGGAAGGUGGGGAUGACGUCAAGUCCUCAUGGCCCUUAUGGGUAGGGCUUCACACGUAAUACAAUGGCGCGUACAGAGGGUAGCCAAUCUGCGAAGAGGAGCCAAUCUCAGAAAGCGCGUCGUAGUCCGGAUCGGAGUCUGCAAUUCGACUCCGUGAAGUCGGAAUCGCUAGUAAUCGCGGAUCAGCAUGUCGCGGUGAAUACGUUCCCGGGUCUUGUACACACCGCCCGU
rnacentral:rRNA from 1 species